rnacentral:rRNA from 1 species
GACGAACGCUGGCGGCGUGCUUAACACAUACAAGUCGAACGGAAAGGCCCUGCUUUUGUGGGGUGCUCGAGUGGCGAACGGGUGAGUAACACGUGAGUAACCUGCCCUUGACUUUGGGAUAACUUCAGGAAACUGGGGCUAAUACCGGAUAGGAGCUCCUGCUGCAUGGUGGGGGUUGGAAAGUUUCGGCGGUUGGGGAUGGACUCGCGGCUUAUCAGCUUGUUGGUGGGGUAGUGGCUUACCAAGGCUUUGACGGGUAGCCGGUCUGAGAGGGUGACCGGCCACAAUAGGACUGAGAUAAGGCCCAGAAUCCUACGGGAGGCAGCAGGGGGGAAUAUUGCACAAUGGGGGGAAGCCUGAUGCAGCAGCGCCGCGUGCGGAAUGACGGCCUUCGGGUUGUAAACCGCUUUCGCCUGUGACGACGCGUGAGUGACGGUACUGGGUAAAGAAGCACCGGCUAACUACGUG